rnacentral:rRNA from 1 species
AACGAACGCUGGCGGCAGGCUUAACACAUGCAAGUCGAACGAGAUCUUCGGAUCUAGUGGCAGACGGGUGAGGAACACGUGGGAACAUCCCUUUCAGUUCGGAAUAACGUUGGGAAACUAACGCUAAUACCGGAUACGUCCUUCGGGAGAAAGAUUUAUCGCCGAAAGAUUGGCCCGCGUCUGAUUAGCUAGUUGGUGAGGCAAUGGCUCACCAAGGCUACGAUCAGUAGCUGAUCUGAGAGGAUGAUCAGCCACAUUGGGACUGAGACACGGCCCAAACUCCUACGGGAGGCAGCAGUGGGGAAUAUUGGACAAUGGGCGCAAGCCUGAUCCAGCCAUGCCGCGUGAGUGAUGACGGCCUUCGGGUUGUAAAGCUCUUUUGUCCGGGAAGAUAAUGACUGUACCGGAAGAAUAAGCCCCGGCAAACUUCGUGCCAGCAGCCGCCGUAA